rnacentral:rRNA from 1 species
UACGUAGGGGCCUAGCGUUGUCCGGAUUUAUUGGGCGUAAAGAGCUCGUAGGCGGUUCGGUAAGUCAGGUGUGAAAUCUCCACGCUCAACGUGGAGGCGCCACCUGAAACUGCCGUGACUCGAGUCCGGUAGGGGAGUGUGGAAUUCCUGGUGUAGCGGUGAAAUGCGCAGAUAUCAGGAGGAACACCGGUGGCGAAGGCGCACAUCUGGCCCAAUACUGACGCUGAGGCGCGAAAGCUAGGGGAGCAAACGGG